rnacentral:rRNA from 1 species
UACGUAGGGUGCGAGCGUUGUCCGGAAUUACUGGGCGUAAAGAGCUCGUAGGCGGUUUGUCACGUCGUCUGUGAAAUCCUAGGGCUUAACCCUGGACGUGCAGGCGAUACGGGCUGACUUGAGUACUACAGGGGAGACUGGAAUUUCUGGUGUAGCGGUGGAAUGCACAGAUAUCAGGAAGAACACCGAUGGCGAAGGCAGGUCUCUGGGCCGAUACUGACGCUGAGGAGCGAAAGCGUGGGGAGCGAACAGG